UCUUAUGGAUGAGCAAAAAAGUUGGUUUAUUGAAAUAAAAUCUACUCCUGGUGAAGAUGCUGUGAA
rnacentral:pre_miRNA from 1 species